AGUGGGGAUGUCCUCAUUGGUCUUGACAGGUCUGAGAGGAGUGUCAUGCUUCAAGGGUGUGGUGGUAACAUCCGGGUUCUGUGGAGACUGGUGGUGGUCUCC
rnacentral:miRNA from 1 species